rnacentral:rRNA from 1 species
GUCCACGCCGUAAACGAUGGAUACUAGCUGUUGGGGCAACUUCAGUGGCUAAGCGAAAGUGAUAAGUAUCCCACCUGGGGAGUACGUUCGCAAGAAUGAAACUCAAAGGAAUUGACGGGGCCCGCACAAGCGGUGGAGCAUGUGGUUUAAUUCGAUGAUACGCGAGGAACCUUACCAAGGCUUAAAUGUAGAUUGACAGGUUUGGAAACAGACUUUUUCUUCGGACAAUUUACAAGGUGCUGCAUGGUUGUCGU